rnacentral:rRNA from 1 species
UGCAAGUCGAGCGGUAGAGAGGUGCUUGCACCUCUUGAGAGCGGCGGACGGGUGAGUAAUGCCUAGGAAUCUGCCUGGUAGUGGGGGAUAACGCUCGGAAACGGACGCUAAUACCGCAUACGUCCUACGGGAGAAAGCAGGGGACCUUCGGGCCUUGCGCUAUCAGAUGAGCCUAGGUCGGAUUAGCUAGUUGGUGGGGUAAUGGCUCACCAAGGCGACGAUCCGUAACUGGUCUGAGAGGAUGAUCAGUCACACUGGAACUGAGACACGGUCCAGACUCCUACGGGAGGCAGCAGUGGGGAAUAUUGGACAAUGGGCGAAAGCCUGAUCCAGCCAUGCCGCGUGUGUGAAGAAGGUCUUCGGAUUGUAAAGCACUUUAAGUUGGGAGGAAGGG